rnacentral:tRNA from 1 species
GAUAGCUCAGUUGGUAGCGCACGAGACUCUCAAUCUCAGGUUUGUAGGUUCGAGCCCCAUAUUGGGCA